CAGCCGCCGCGGUAAUACGAAGGGUGCAAGCGUUAAUCGGAAUUACUGGGCGUAAAGCGUGCGUAGGCGGUUUGUUAAGUCUGUUGUGAAAUCCCCGGGCUCAACCUGGGAAUGGCAAUGGAUACUGGCAAGCUAGAGUGUGUCAGAGGAUGAUGGAAUUCCCGGUGUAGCGGUGAAAUGCGUAGAGAUCGGGAGGAACAUCAGUGGCGAAGGCGGCCAUCUGGGACAACACUGACGCUGAGGCACGAAAGCGUGGGGAGCAAACAGGAUUAGAUACCCCUGUAGUCCCUGUCUCUUAUAC
rnacentral:rRNA from 1 species